rnacentral:lncRNA from 10 species
GUUUAUGUGAGAUCACUGGAGAAAGGCACAUUUUUAACGUGGAAUCUGCUGAAAUAGGAUGAUUUCUGAUCUCUGAUAAUUUGAAGAUCUUGACCAGGAUUCCAGGGGAUACCUUCCAGAGGGGUCUAGUUGCCUUUUCCCACCACCCCUCCAAACACUGUCUUUAUUUCUAGAGAGAGAAGUCUCUGUCUGAGAUUCAGGAAUGGCAGAAAAGAUAUUUGGUAUGGCAGUUGCUGCUAUGUAGCCCGUGAAACGGAGGAUUCUUUUUGACAACAGUGUCCCCAAAUGUCCCCUUGCAAAAUGGCUGACGUCAGAAAGUACACACCCUUCAUAAAAUGGGUCCCUCUCCUGGAAGAUUGCUUGUUGACCAGUCGACUUUGACAAGGCUUCAAGUUCUUCGUCUAUAAAAUUGGAAUAUUGACAAAAUGUACCUGGAAACGAUGCAGUGAGACAACGAAUGGCAAGCACUUCACUGCUGGCUAUUAAUAAAUGCCCAGAGUUCGAUCGUGUGGUAUUUGCAUAUUUAAAGAAACUGCCAAGCGGCUUUCCAGAGGGACUGUACUAUUUUACAUUCCCACAGCGAUGCAUGAAUAAUCCAGUGUCUCUGCAACCUCACCAGCAUUUGGUGUUGUCACUAUUUUUUAUCUUAGCCAUUUUAAUAGGUAAGAAGUGCCUUUCAUCUCCCACCAUGAUUCUG